rnacentral:rRNA from 1 species
AGACCCGAAACCCGGUGAUCUAGCCAUGGGCAGGUUGAAGGUUGGGUAACACUAACUGGAGGACCGAACCGACUAAUGUUGAAAAAUUAGCGGAUGACCUGUGGCUGGGGGUGAAAGGCCAAUCAAACCGGGAGAUAGCUGGUUCUCCCCGAAAGCUAUUUAGGUAGCGCCUCGUGAAUUCAUCUCCGGGGGUAGAGCACUGUUUCGGCUAGGGGGCCAUCCCGGCUUACCAACCCGAUGCAAACUGCGAAUACCGGAGAAUGUUAUCACGGGAGACACACGGCGGGUGCUAACGUCCGUCGUGAAGAGGGAAACAACCCAGACCGCCAGCUAAGGUCCCAAAGUCAUGGUUAAGUGGGAAACGAUGUGGGAAGGCCCAGACAGCCAGGAUGUUGGCUUAGAAGCAGCCAUCAUUUAAAGAAAGCGUAAUAGCUCACUGGUCGAGUCGGCCUGCGCGGAAGAUGUAACGGGGCUAAACCAUGCACCGAAGCUGCGGCAGCGACACUCAGGUGUUGUUGGGUAGGGGAGCGUUCUGUAAGCCUGUGAAGGUGGCCUGUGAGGGUUGCUGGAGGUAUCAGAAGUGCGAAUGCUGACAUAAGUAACGAUAAAGCGGGUGAAAAGCCCGCUCGCCGGAAGACCAAGGGUUCCUGUCCAACGUUAAUCGGGGCAGGGUGAGUCGACCCCUAAGGCGAGGCCGAAAGGCGUAGUCGAUGGGAAACGGGUUAAUAUUCCCGUACUUGGUGUUACUGCGAAGGGGGGACGGAGAAGGCUAUGUUGGCCGGGCGACGGUUGUCCCGGUUUAAGCGUGUAGGUGUGUGUUCCAGG